rnacentral:lncRNA from 1 species
GUGCUGCCCUCCUGUUGAUUCCUCAGAUUUAUUAAGAGUUUCUGCCCUGCUUUGUACACUCUCUAAAUUCAUCUUAAAAUCCUGCUAGAUACAUGGGUGGGUUGGUUUUGGGUAUUUUGAUGCUCACUACAACACCUGUUGAAAAAGUUGACAUAGCUCCAAUGGUGUUAUCCUUCUGCCCAUGGCUGUAAGCACUGUCUUUUCCUCCAGUUUAAUCUGCACUGCAUAUAAAGUUAAUAGCUCUCACAAUCAAUAAAAGUUACCGGUUCCAGUAGGUAAGGUGGAAGAACUUUUUAUAGAACUGUUGAUAAGAGAAGCCAGGAAAAAACUGCUAAACAGAUAACACAGUCUCUAAGAGCUUACUCUUCUACACAUACUGUGUGUGCAUUAACAGAAUACAAGCCUAUACUUGAAAUGAUACAGCAGAAAAAUAUUUAGGAUAUGGAGAACAUAUGUAGAAAAGUAAGCAUGAAGUGAAAGGAGGGUCAAGAACACAUUUCUACCCACUUGUUUUUCUCUAGAUAUUACUGCAUGCUGACAGAGUAAUAACAUUUAAGUUACACUUUCAGGAUUUCAGCUUUCCAAGGACUUCAAAAUGUUUUUCAGCCAUAGGCAGACCCUGUAUGAGUCAUGCACCAGGUUAAUGGUGGUUCUUGUAUCUAAAAAUACCUGCAUCUGCACCUCAAAUUAAUUCUCUUCUAAUUAGUUCCACCUCUAUUAGAAACUUCAACAAAAAUCAACAGCAAAGAUUUUAACCAAAAUGCCACCAAAAUGCAGAGGAAAUAAUUUAAUGCAAAGAAUCAUAGAAUCAAAGAAUUAUUAAGGUUGGAAAAGACCUCUACGAAGAUGUAGUCCAAAUGUCAGCUCAUCCCUGACAACAUCCCUCAGUGCCACAUCUCCACAGCUCUUGAACACCUCCAGGGACGAUGACUGCACCACUUCCAGCAGUGCCAGUGCCCAAACAGUGCUCCUUCUGAGAAGAAAUUGGAGCAGAAGAGUUCAGAAGAAGAUCCUGAACUUUGCCUUGAAUUAAGCCUGGACAGGAAAUACGGGAUGGAAAACAACAUCUGCUUAUCAAUUGGAAAUUACAUGUAAGA